UACGUAGGGGGCAAGCGUUGUCCGGAAUCACUGGGCGUAAAGCGCGUGUAGGCGGCCCGAUAAGUCCGCCGUGAAAGCCCAGGGCUCAACCCUGGGAUGCCGGUGGAAACUGUCGGGCUAGAGUCCGGAAGAGGCGAGUGGAAUUCCUGGUGUAGCGGUGAAAUGCGCAGAUAUCAGGAGGAACACCAAUGGCGAAGGCAGCUCGCUGGGACGGUUACUGACGCUGAGACGCGAAAGCGUGGGGAGCAAACAGG
rnacentral:rRNA from 1 species